ACAAUUCAGGUAGUGGAGUCUGAAUUUAUAAGGACAUAAGCAGUGUUAAUGACAGGACCUUCCAGAUGUUAUCCAUUCAUAAGGUCUUUGUAAGUUGGAAACAACUUGACAACAUGUAACAAAAGCUCUGAGCAUGAUUAACUCUGUAUCCAAAUAUAGGUUUUAUUUUGAAUUAAUAAAAUGUGCUUUCUUUGUUUUCUUACAAUACCGAAUCUUGAUUCCACCCACCUACCCCACACAGAUAUUACCAUGAAACGUGUGGGCUGCAAAAUUUAGUACAUGUGAUAGGAAAGGAGCCAGACCUGUAUCUGUGUGCCUUCAAAAAACUAGGAUUACAGUUUGACAUGCAUGUAUAAAAUGUUGCUCAUACACAUUUAUUUAAAGGAAAUGAAUCAAUAUCUAAAUUAAUAAGAAUGUGCUUCUUUUUGCAGAUGAAUGAAAAGAUCAAGAGAGUUCCAAGGCAUCCCCCACAAUUAUUCAUUUUUAAUGAAGAAAAUUAAUCUUGCAAAUAAAGAUGGAAUAUACAGCUGUCGAUGCUGAAGCAUCCAAGACUAUCUCACUAAUAUUGUUACAUAAAUAACAAAACAAAAAUCAAGCUAUCUCUGGAGGCAAAAAAUGUUGAAACUGAGGGUGUCCUACUUUGAGCACAUCAUGAGAAGGCAGGAUUCUCCAGAAAAGACAUAAUUGUGAGCACAUGAAUCAAGCAGAUAAAGAAUGCAGACUUGAAUGUGUUGACAUUGUUGAGAUUGGUUUUCAAAAACAUGAGGUUGGCUGCCGUUGAACACAUGGUAGGAUCUAACAUGAAUAUUGACAUGAUUCAGCAAGGAAACUCUUAUAUUCAUCUGAUGUUAUAAUUCUAAGCACUUCACUCGAUGGUAGAGAACACGCAGAGAUGUACAAGAUGAGAAACACCUGUGAAGAAGAGAGAAGAAACAGUAGAGCCAAACAACUGCAAGCUGAUGCCCACCAAGUGAAUCUGACAAUGGAAACUGAAAUCCUCCAAGCCAAGCAUCCUGGAAAUUUUAACAAUUGUAUCUGGAACCACUGCUGCCCCCUAGGGCAGCUGUGGAACUUUGCAGGUGCCAUGGUAACCACUGGUAGAAGCUCUGUUGUUAAACAUUAUUUGUUUUGAUCGCUUCUCCUUGGUUGCAUUUUACAUUAUUUGGUUGUAUCAUACUGGACAAUUUGAAAAAAAAAUAUUUUAUCCAUUAAAAAGCAACAUCACUGCAGCAUCAAACACUGGUUAUCGGAAACAUUAAUGAAAGUAUGGCAUGUUCUAGCAAAAUUGCUUUUCCACAGAAAAAAUAUAUUUAAAAAUACUUAUUUACAAUGUUACUGAAAUAACUGUUUGCUGACAACUCAAACUUUUUAUCAAGAGCAGACAUGAAAAGCAACUGGGAAAACUUCCUUGCUUAUAUAGCUUAUGCGGCACCAAGCUGGUUUUACAACAUAUUUAAAACUAUUACAAACAUUAUAAUUCAAAUAGAAACAACAAUGGACUCUUUAUUCUACAGGAUGUAAGUAUAAACAAACAGGCAAUGUGUUGAUUCUCAGUUGAAAUAAACAGGAAUGUAAAUUCA
ensembl:lncRNA